CUGUAGAUCUGCAGUUUAUGCAUAUAGAUUUGGUUGCUAGAUUUGGCACUCUACUUUUGGCAAUUGGAAUAGCCGGGUCUUGGAUUUGGGUGUGUUCAGUAGUGAUCUGGUGUAGUAAAGUGGUGCACCUACCUAAAACUGACAGGCAAUUCUGUUUGCCCAAAACAUACAUAAUUACAACGUGCUAGUUGCUGGCCCAAAUGCCAUCUCCUAUUUCUAAGAGGGCACACUUGCUCCAGAGCCCACUUCACAGGCAUUCGGAUAUUGAUCUGCAAACAUUCCCAUGCUUCUUUGCAUAUGAUCAACUUACUGUCUUAAAUAAGAUGUUAGAUGAUAUUGAGUGAUCCAUGCAUGCUUGUUGUUUAUAUAUGUCUAAUAUAAGUCUUCCAAGGCUAUCACACUGAUCGUGGGCUUUGUUGAUUAUAUUCUUGUUUAGGCUCUUGUCAAUAUGAUCAGCAACCCUGUCAACUCCACUGUCCCGAUUGCAGCGGAGGUUUUCAAGAAGGCUGGCACUUAUGAUGAGAAGAAGCUGUUUGGUGUGACCACUCUUGAUGUUGUUCGUGCUAAAACUUUUUAUGCUGGAAAGGCGGGCGUGCCAGUUACUGGUAAUAAGAUGUUCUACUUGAAAAUUGCUAGAAUGCUAGAUACAUUGCUAGAUGGUUGUCAGAUUUAAUUUGUAGUCUCUCUCAAUGUGAGUUGUUGCUACUUGCUGUGACCUUUUGCAGAGGUGAAUGUUCCUGUUGUCGGGGGCCAUGCGGGUAUUACUAUUCUGCCACUCUUCUCGCAGGUAUUGUAUCCACAGUUGCUGUUUCCUUCAGUGACACAAUGAUCUCCAAAAUGUACCCAGUUAGAAUAGAUAUAAGUCAUAUAACUAGUGUUAAAAGAGCCUUGUAGCAUAAGCAUACCCACAAUGAUCAAGUAGUGUAAGUGUAUGAAAUAUAUUGACGAAACAUGCAAUUUGAUUAGCAAAGGGGUUGUCUUUUGUGGACAGGAUUCAACAGAGUAUGUUUGCCUAGACUAGUUCAAUAAUGUCAAUUUGUCAACCGUGCAUAAGGACUCUAAAGCUAUCUUGGGUUAACGUUUGUCAUGCUAGGUGUAUUCUAUGUUGCGCCUCAUAUAUCUAAAGCUAAUAACCCCAACAUAAACUUGAACAAAAUCAAAUUGUCUGUUCCAUACAGGCCACUCCUGCAAGCAAUUCACUGUCCCAAGAAGACAUCGUGGCCCUCACCAAGAGGACACAAGAUGGUGGAACGGAGGUUGUUGAAGCAAAGGCUGGAAAGGGCUCUGCAACAUUGUCCAUGGCGUAAGUCUAUAAAACAUGGACCUUUGUGAGCAUGUCUUUCAGCUCGACUAUAGAACCUGUAACUAGCAUAUCCUGUCUGUUUAUGAUCUUUAUGGAACUUUUUGAAUACUGUCUUCUAUCAUUGCAACUUGUCCAUUAGUAGAUGCUUGAAUUUUCUUAGGAGAACUGCCUGUGACAUGAGUUAGCGGCUGCACGAUUGCACAUACACUCUCCUGCACAAGCUUAUAACAUCAAAGCUAGUGAGAUGCAUGUGGCCGUAAUUUGGUGCUAUUAAGUAUACAUUAUUAUUGCUAUAUCAUGGUUUUUCAUGAAUUCCUUUGAUUGUAUAUGGAUUGCAUCAAUUUAUUGUCAGAACUGGAUGUAUAUUAAUCUAUCUGAUUGUAAUGAACAUCAUUUGUAGUUUAUGCCAUUCAGUAUACAUGUAUAGUUGAACUAACCUCGUGAAUUUAAGAGACAUUCCUUGAACCGCACCUGCUUCUAUCUUGGUCUACAGUGUUUUUUAGAUAGUAUUCUUUCAGAAAAACUUGCACAUUCUACUUUGUUGACUCUUUGUUAUUGCAUUCAUGUGAAGUUGUUCAUGAUAUUGUUAUUAUUUGGAAUGUAGCUUCUUGCCAAAUGAAGGGCCCACUUGUCCUUGAGCAUCUGUAUAAGAUCAUAUAUCUUAUAUUUCCAACUAAUUUGUUGCAAUAUGAGCUAGAGCCUGUUUGGGUAGAUUGGAUUUGGAUCCAAUUUUAUUAGUUAGCAGCCUCACCGUAACACCCAUAUCUGAAUUUUUUUUCUGUGUGACUUUACCUUUGCUUCCCUUUAGUGUUCUGCCUGCAUGUAAUCUUCUGUUUCCUAAAUCAUCAUAUUGUAGUGGCUGUGCAGACAGACUCAGUUUCCAUCAACCGUUGUUAUACAUAACCAUAUUAGUUUUAUGCUGAUUUCAGGUCAAGCUCUGCCGCAAUUUGUUUUACUAAUAUAUUUUUUUUGGGUGCAGAUAUGCUGGUGCUGUUUUUGCAGAUGCAUGCUUGAAGGGUCUGAAUGGAGUUCCUGACAUUGUAGAGUGCUCUUUUGUGCAAUCAACUGUGACGGAGUUGCCGUUCUUUGCCUCCAAGGUACUUAUCUAAUGCGUAAAUAUGUAAAGUGCAGUUAUGUUUUAUCAUAUGGUCAAAAUAAAUUUUCUUGGUUCUUUCUUCCUGUUUUCCUUUUUUUUCUUGUUAUAAAGGCUUAUACCGGUUACCAAAAUUUAAAUUACCAUGCUAUAAUUUGAUUUUCACUUAUUUAUUAUAUAAGUCAAUCUGUUUUUUGAAUUUGGAGGCAAGGAUCCAAAUCAUAGGUUUUGUGCACUGAAUUUUGUGUGGUCAGAGGCAUUAAAAGAAUUGGUUUUAUUUUUGUUGUUUUUUAAGCUUAUAAAACUGUCUUAUCGAUGGGUCUUGCAUGUCCUAUCGGAUUAAAGGUACUGUGAACCAUUGCCAUUUUGGUGUUUUUUCUUGAGAAUCAGUGUGAUGUGUUGGCCUUAUGGUUCCAUGUAGCAUGUUCUUGUUUCCAGGAACUGACGAGUGGCAUAUCUCAUUCUUUUACAAUAUCAUGGUUUUCCCUGUCUUGUCAGCUGCAAGAGGGCAUUUCAAUAUUGGCUGAUCAAAAUUAUGUGUUCUUCAGUAAACAUCGCUAAUGCCAGUGCCUUGCUAUACUAGUUAGAUGGACUCUUUCUAGUGUAUUUUUUCACUUGAUUUUGUUGAUUCUCUCAAGAGACAGUCUUCAUAUGCUGCCUAGUGUAGUUUUAACACCAGUCCCUUCCAUGCUACAGGUGCGCCUCGGCAAGAAUGGAGUGGAGGAAGUGCUUGGUCUGGGCGAGCUCUCCGACUUUGAGAAGAAGGGGCUGGAAAGCCUCAAGGGCGAGCUCAAGGCUUCCAUUGAGAAGGGUAUCAAGUUCGCCCACGGGAACUAGGCACUUUGCACAGACUCUUAACAAUUCAUAUAUCAAGCUGAGGAGAUCUCUUGGAAUUUUUUUUUGAUCGCCUUUUCUGCCCCUCUUCUGCUGGGAAGUAGAGGUGUUGUGAUCCACAAUAAAAAUCCAGCGGCUUAGUUGCCAACCUGAAUGAAACCUGAACCGGAAACAACCACACCGGUCACCGGUGCCUUUUGUGCUCGGCCAAUUGCUUGGUGAGCCGUGACGGAAAUGGGAACGGACUUGCCACUUGCUCGAUCCCACUUGUUAUUCUGGUAUUGUAUCGGUACCAGGGCUCCAUGUCAUACUGGAAUUCAAAUUAUUGGGGCUGCUAGAUACCAAUGUGCUGUUGCUCGUGAGACCUUGCACUGUUGAGCCGAGCAUUGCUGGUUCAGGGCAAAUUCCAAGGGUCCAAGCAACGUGCUAUGCUUGCUGGCGGGCGAUGUGUGAUUUUCAGAUUGAUUGGUGAGCCUGGAACGAGCACGUACCAUUAAAAGAGCCUAUGUUUAGAUAUAUAGCAUCAAAAGAAUCAGUUUUAGACAUAUACCAUCAAAAGAUGGCAAUUCUUUGCAGCUUAGCAUUUCUGUGAACUCAAUGCUAACUCUUUAACCAUUAUACCCUUUGGCUGAUAAAAUGAUUCGAGCGGCAGUAUAACAGUAUCCAGCCCCCAUUUCUUUUUUCUUUCUUUCCAUAGCAUUUUGAGAGGAUAUAAGAGGAUCCAUUUCAACACCCUCCCGGAACCUCGUCAGGAUCCAUUUGCCUCAGGAUUUGUGCACGGAGGUGAAGAUGCAAGCAAGCUUCGGAUUUGUGCACGGUGGCUGCUCAGUACUACCAGGUGCGGAGUCCGAGAAGGGGAUAGGGAGUUCGUACUCUUUCCUUUCAAUCUUCGACGCAGCAACGCGGUGCUCAUUCUAUGUUUCUCUAUUGCGGCGGCAAACGAUCAGCAUCAACCUUGUUUUGGGGUGUUUCCCCGGCAGAUGAUCUUUUAUUGGUGCUUUUGCCCUAUCCCGUGCGACGGGCUUCUACUGUGGCUUCUGUAGUUUUUUGUGGCGAUUUGUGUUGAUGCGCGUCUGGGGAAGGUCAUGGAGGCCGUCCUCUUGAGUUUGUUGUUGCAUCAGAGAAGACGAUGGCGAGCUCCACAGCGAGGCGCGUUGCUGGUUGCGAGGAUGACGAUACCGUUGGACAUGGUUGUAUUUUUAUUUUUUGUCAAGGGUGAUGUGGUGUUGAUUACUGUACUCUCAUAUACUGUUGCUAUCUAUAGUUAGCCAAAUAGGCCGCAUGACGCUACACCGCACUAACACAUGUUGGAAACGACACGGUUCGGCACGACACGACUAGGCACUGAGCUUGCCAGCCUAUCAUACCCAGCCCCGCGUGAUAGUAUCGGCCUGAGCCCGACGUCCGGUAGCCUCCAGCGCCGUCACCAUCGGUGAAGGUCAUGGCAGCGAGGGCUCGGGAAGGCACGCGACCGCAGUAUCUUGGAUGGCAAGGGGCGGGGAGACUGCGGUCGCGCGGCGGUAGCGGUGGUGGCUGGGGAUGGCGAGGUGGCGGGGAGGCCGCGAGGUGCGUAAUGGUGGUGGUGGGAAGGGCGAGGGGUGAGGGGUGGCGGAGAGGCAGGAGAGAAGAGAGAAAGAGAAGGGGGUUGUUAGGUGGAGGCAUAAGGUUCAAGAUUUGGAGAAAAUGAUGGAAGUAUUUAUACGAGAAAUAUGUGGGCGGACUGAAUCGUGCCAGCCCAUUUAGUUAUAUGAGAAAUAUAUCGGCGGUAACGGUCUGAAUUGUGCCAACACUACGUAUGCCAGGAUUCCGGCCCAAAGAUAGCAUGGUGAUCGGAUCGUGCCAGCCCGCACACUACGGCUAUCUAUCGGUCCGUGUCAAGUUAGAGCUGUAUUCUUCAGUGUCGAGCUACGGUCCAUCGGGUCGGCCCAUCUGGCCAUCUAUAUUGCUAUCCCUCGUCUAAUAUUGCUAUCCCUCGUCUAAUGAAAGCAGAUAUUCCCUCUCAAAAGAAAAAAAAACUUCCCUUCAGAUCCCAUCCACACCCUUUGGAGUCAGGACCCUUCCUCCUCACCCCUCCCUCUAUUAGAGCACCACCCGCCGCCGCCGCCAGCCUGACCGCCUCCGCUCCCCUCACUCGUCCCCAGCGAGACGCGCCCCCGAGCUCCUCCGCCGCAGCCGCGAUGAGGUCUUCUCUGCUGAAAUCCACGUCCGAGCUCCUCCGCCGCAGCCGCGGCUACUCCUCCUCGGCCAACCCGGAGCGGAAGGUGGCCAUCCUGGGCGCGGCGGGCGGCAUCGGGCAGCCGCUCUCGCUCCUCAUGAAGCUCAACCCGCUCGUCUCCUCCCUCUCCCUCUACGAUAUCGCGGGGACCGUCGGCGUCGCCGCCGACGUGUCCCACAUCAACACCCCCGCCCUGGUACGCCCCCGCUGCUGCCCUGGUUUAUCGACGCGCGCCACGGGCUCGGCUGGAUCCGAGCUGAUUGGUCUCGUAUUCCGCAGGUGAAGGGGUUCAUGGGGGAUGACCAGCUCGGGGAGGCGCUGGAGGGAUCCGACGUCGUUAUCAUCCCCGCCGGGGUGCCCAGGAAGCCCGGCAUGACCAGGGACGACCUCUUCAACAUCAACGCUGGCAUUGUUAAGGCGCUCAGCACCGCCAUCGCCAAGCACUGCCCCAACGUAAGCAUCCCGCCCUUCCUCCCACUGUAGAUCUGCAGUUUAUGUAUAUAGAUUUGGUUGCUAGAUUUGGCACUAUACUUUUGGCAAUCGGAAUAGCCGGGUCUUGGAUUUGGUUAGAUCUAGUGUUCAGUAGUGAUCUGGUGUAGUAAAGUGGUGCGCCUACCUAAAACUGACAGGCAACACUGUUUGCCCAAAACAUACAUAAUUACGACGUGCUAGUUGCUGGCCUCAGUGCCAUCUCCUAUUUCUAAGAGAGCACACUUGCUCCAGAUGUCCAGAAUUCCAGAUAUUGAUCUGCAAAUAUUCCCAUGCUUUGCAAUGAUCAACUUACUGUCUUAAAUAAGAUGUUAGAUGAUAUUAUGCAUGCUUGUUGUUUAUAUAUGUCUAAAAUGUAAGUCUUCCAAGUAAACAUUUCCAUCUUGUUUAAUUUGUGCUAUCACACUGAUCAUGGGCUUUGUUGAUUAUAUGCUUCUUCAGGCUCUUGUCAAUAUGAUCAGCAACCCUGUCAACUCCACUGUCCCGAUUGCAGCGGAAGUUUUCAAGAAGGCUGGUACAUAUGAUGAGAAGAAGCUGUUUGGUGUGACCACUCUUGAUGUUGUUCGUGCUAAAACCUUUUAUGCUGGAAAGGCGGGCG
rnacentral:lncRNA from 1 species